CAUGAGAGAUGCAUGACUGAAGACGGAGUUGUGUAAGAAGGUGUUUUCGUUCUUCGUUUACGGGUUUAUAUUUUACGUUUUAAGCUUUAUGACAUGUGGGCCCUGCAUGGUGACUUCGGUGGCAUAUAGGCUAGCCGUGUACUGAUGAACAACGAUAAACUUGUGAUUGAAGUAAACUCGAAAUAGGAGAGGGAAAUCCUUCCUCAUCCGCCCCCAAAUUCCAUCUCUCUAUGAUUGCUCACGUCCUCGGCAUGUCACUGGCGACCAA
rnacentral:lncRNA from 1 species